AAGUCGUAACAAGGUUUCCGUAGGUGAACCUGCGGAAGGAUCAUUAACACGUUAUCCAACGUAUCAACCAACGAGAAUCGUUUUCACAUCUCCCGGAAGCAAAGAAUGAGUGGAAUCCGAGCAACGCAUUGAAAGGGAUAGCCUCGGCGUCAGCCUGCUCUUAUCACUUAGGCAAAUCGAAAGGUUUGCUUAGACACUGUAUUUUUGCGGAAGGCAAAUUGGUCUGCGGUGGUGCUUUCCUUUCAUUGAGAAUCACUGCAGGCUCCUAUUUUUACCUAUUUCACCCCCCUUUUUGCUAGUUGACUUUAAUACUGUUGUUCUUUUUUUCCAAACGCUUGCGUUGGGAAACGAGUUCACACGUUUAAUUAAUUGAACGUUAAAAAUACAACUCUUAGCAAUGGAUAUCUUGGUUCUC
rnacentral:misc_RNA from 1 species